GAUGAACGCUGGCGGCGUGCCUAAUACAUGCGAGUCGAGCGAACAGACGAGGAGCUUGCUCCUCUGACGUUAGCGGCGGACGGGUGAGUAACACGUGGAUAACCUACCUAUAAGACUGGGAUAACUUCGGGAAACCGGAGCUAAUACCGGAUAAUAUAUUGAACCGCAUGGUUCAAUAGUGAAAGACGGUUUUGCUGUCACUUAUAGAUGGAUCCGCGCCGCAUUAGCUAGUUGGUAAGGUAACGGCUUACCAAGGCAACGAUGCGUAGCCGACCUGAGAGGGUGAUCGGCCACACUGGAACUGAGACACGGUCCAGACUCCUACGGGAGGCAGCAGUAGGGAAUCUUCCGCAAUGGGCGAAAGCGUGACGGAGCAACGCCGCGUGAGUGAUGAAGGUCUUCGGAUCGUAAAACUCUGUUAUUAGGGAAGAACAAAUGUGUAAGUAACUAUGCACGUCUUGACGGUACCUAAUCAGAAAGCCACGGCUAACUACGUG
rnacentral:rRNA from 1 species